rnacentral:rRNA from 1 species
AACGAACGCUGGCGGCAGGCCUAAAACAUGCAAGUCGAACGAUCUAGCAAUAGAUAGUGGCGCACGGGUGAGUAACACGUGGGAAUAUCCCUUUCACUACGGAACAACGUCGGGAAACUGACGCUAAUACCGUAUAAUGUCUCCGGACCAAAGAUUUAUCGGUGAAAGAUUAGCCCGCGUCUGAUUAGCUAGUUGGUGAGGUAACGGCUCACCAAGGCAACGAUCAGUAGCUGGUCUGAGAGGAUGAUCAGCCACACUGGAACUGAGACACGGUCCAGACUCCUACGGGAGGCAGCAGUUAGGAAUAUUGGACAAUGGGGGCAACCCUGAUCCAGCCAUGCCGCGUGUGUGACGAAGGCUUUAGGGUUGUAAAGCACUUUCGUCUACGAAGAUAAUGACAGUAGUAGAAGAAGAAGCUCCGGCUAAAUUCGUGCCAGCCGCCGCCGUAA